CUAUCUUCAGUGCCAUUUUCACUACUGAGAUGCUUGUUGCUACUUAGUAAAACAAAGCAGGGGUUACAUCCAACUAGACUUGCAGCUUUAACCUGGCUAUAAUACUUCUCCAAAGUGAACCUUGUGGCAGGAGUUUUUCUUCUUUUUUUUUUUUUUUCCAAAGGUAGACUUUCAUUAAAGGUCAAGGGAUGACCAGGAGGAAAUUAUGAAAUUACAUUGUGGCGGGAGUUUAUCGGGCACAUACCCUAC
rnacentral:misc_RNA from 1 species